AGAGCGGCAGGGGAGGGGCAGAGGGAAAGGAAGAGAAAGAAUCUCAAGCAGUCUCUACACUAAGUGCAGAGUUCGUCACAGCACUCCAUCUCACAACCCUGAGAUCGUGACCCGUCGAAAUCAAGAGUCAGACGCUUAACCACCUGAGCCACCCAGAUGCCCCAUCUGGCCUAACUUUAUUUCUUCUCCUUCCUGCUCUGGUUCUUGCUCCAUAUUUCAAGGUUGUAUUUCAUGUGGAUGUGGGUAUGAUGUGCCACAGCAACAUGACAUCUUGAUUAGGCAAAAAUCUGAGAUUUGGAAAGAUGAAAUGACUUACCCAAAUUCACAAGAGAAAGAGGGGCCACCCGAGGGCAGUCCAUACUGUGACAUGAGGACCAGAGGAAGGUAAGAACUUGGCAGCCACUCAGCUAAUCCUAGCCGGCUGUGUCUGCCACUCAAAAUGGUGAA